rnacentral:lncRNA from 1 species
UGUCCUCUGAUCAUGUCAAUUCUGCGAAGACUGACUUUGGCAGUCAGUCAUUCACAAUUUUAUUUUUAAAGCUAUUCACAUUCCUGGUCACUGCAAUAUGAUUCACAUUCCUGGUCACUGCAAUAUGAUAGCUGAUGCACUUUCUCGUUUUCGUGUUCAGACGUCUAUGCCCAUCAGCCGAGCAGGAUCCUACUCCCUGCCCAAACCUUUCAGAAAUUCUGCUAAAUUAGAUCCCUCCUUUGACGAUCUUCUCAAUUCGGCCAGACAUUAUAUCACUAAAGGCGUUGCUCCAUCUACCCUGAAAGC